rnacentral:rRNA from 1 species
UACGUAGGGUGCGAGCGUUGUCCGGAAUUGCUGGGCGUAAAGAGCUCGUAGGUGGUUUGUCGCGUUGUCCGUGAAAACUCACAACUCAACUGUGGGCUUGCGGUCGAUACGGGCAGGCUAGAGUUCGGUAGGGGAGACUGGAAUUCCUGGUGUAGCGGUGAAAUGCGCAGAUAUCAGGAGGAACACCGGUGGCGAAGGCGGGUCUCUGGGCCGAUACUGACGCUGAGGCGCGAAAGCCAGGGGAGCGAACGGG